CUCACCACAGGCAGGGUGGCUCCUCUCCUGAGGUGGGAGGAGCAGAAAACAGUAUUUAUCAGACAUGUGUUUUGUCCUUGAGUUUGAUUUUGCUGUUUACUUUUGAAAACCCUCUUAUGAAAGCAGCUUCAGGGACACGGCUGCUCCUCAGUGUCUUUUGUAAUCGUGAGUAAAAAUACCUAAGAAAACGGGAGCCAAUUUAGAACGUUUGGGGUUGUAAUUUUGCACGUGCUCUGUGCUGAAAUUGGCACUGCUCAAAAUCAGUAAUUUACAUUUUCUGGAUUUCACGCUCAACAUUUCAAGUUCAGAAACGAGCUGGAAGGAAUGUGCUGCUCUCUGGUGAUGCUUCACAAAUGUCAUGCCCAAUUUGCUAAAGAGCAGUUCUGGAAACAUGUGAAUAUCGAUGGUAAAUUGCACAAAUUUGCUUCUAGACAACAGUGGUGCAGAACAUGAGAGGAAGAUCUGUCACACAGGAAACAAAACAGCGUGGGCUCAUCAAAGGUCAGUGAAAUUUCAACCAGUAAGCAAAUAUCAAACACGAAUGAGUCAAGAUUUCCUUCAACUUGUGGUGCUGUUGGUAUUUCUGUUGUAGGUGGUUUGAAGUGUGUGUUCGGUGGCUGGUCCAGGCCGUGUCCCCGUGGUGUCCCCAGCUGUUGGCUGGUGCAGCAUCUCCUGUCAGCAGAACAAUCGCCACCUUUCCUCACCCCUUUGCAAUGUGAUGGGGAGGUUCUCUAGUCAAAAACAAAAACCAAAGUGAACACUAACCACAUUGCAAAUAAUCCUUUCGAGUGGUUAGUGACACAGGUGAAGAAGCGGCACUGAAUUAAUUGCAGGGCGGGAACAAUGAAGGGAGAGAACCAGGAACGCCAGGACGCUGUUGGCAGCUGCAGCCGCCGGAGCGGGGUGAGCGGGGGCUCCGCGUGUUCCUCGGGGAUGAAUCCCCGGCGUGCGGGGCCAGCGCCGGCUGCGUGUGACACCUGCUCCUCGCACACGGAACCGCUCCAGGCUGAGCCCCGGGGUUUGUGGGACACGGGGCCCCCAGGAAGGCGUCUGAGGGAAAAUGCUGCUGCAAGAGGGAAGCGAGUGCACCGGCGUUCGGGGGCGAUUUACUGGGGCUGCGGGGGGCCCGGCUGCCCAGGUGCGACACGACACCUCUCGGUUUCGUCACCCGUGCUUGGUCUGCGGACGCCAGGUGGCGCCCCUCUCACUCCUGCCGUGCAGCCGAGCCGCCGACGGCAGCCGCCGGUACCGGGCUCUCUCCCGGGCCCGCGCACCACCACCCCGCCCCGCUUGUGCUGGCUGUCACCGCGGGGCAGGGCGGAGGAACGGGGCGCAGGGCUCCCGCCACCUUCCCCUAAAAAGGAGUGCGGAAAUUCCCGCCGGCGCGGAGCCGCCGAGGCACGGACGGGGUUCGAACCCGUGAUCUUCGGUUUACGAGACCGACGCCUUACCACUUGGCCACCGCGCCUGCGUUAACAGCGUCUCCAGAGCCCUUCUAUCGCUGGCUCCCGCCCUCGCCCCGCCCCUCGCGCCCCGCGUGCGCCUGCGCGAGCCCCUGGAGGUCUUUGGGCGGGCUGCGCGCGGCUGGGGCUCCGAGAGGCGCUGGGUGGCCGCUCAGUUCGUGUUGUGUGUGAGGGCGGGAUGGGACCUGGGGGUCCUGGGGACAGCAGGGUGACCAUGAGCCAGCACUGGGCCCUUGUGGCCAGGAAGGCCAAUGGUACCUGGGGUGGGUUAGAAGGGGGUGGUCAGUAGGUCAGAGAGGUUCUCCUGCCCCUCUGCUCUGCCCUGGGGAGACCACACCUGGAAUAUUGUGUCCAGUUGUGGCCCCUCAGUUCCAGCAGGACAGGGAACUGCUGCAGAGAGUCCAGCACAGCCACCAAGAUGCUGAAGGGAGUGGAGCAUCUCCCAUGUGAGGAAAGGCUGAGGGAGCUGGGGCUCUGGAGCUGGACAAGAGGAGACUGAGGGGGGACUCAUUCCUGGGGAUCAAUAUGGAAAGGGGGAGUGUCAGGAGGAUGGAGCCAGGCUCUUCUCGGUGACAACCCGUGACAGGACAAGGGGCAAUGGGUGCAAACUGGAACACAGGAGGUUCCACUUAAAGAUGAGAGGAAAGUUCUUCCUGGUGAGGGUGGCAGAGCCUGGCCCAGGCUGCCCAGGGGGUUGUGGAGUCUCCUUCUGUGCAGACAUUCCAGCCCGCCUGGACACCUUCCUGUGUAACCUCAUCUGGGUGUUCCUGCUCCAUGGGGGGAUUGCACUGGAUGAGCUUUCCAGGGCCCUUCAACCCCCGACACUCUGGGGUUCCGUGAGGAGCUGCCCUGGCCGGCUGUGGAGGCGUCUCGGCCCUGGUGAGGCGUGUGGGCCCCGGGGCGCUGCCGCCGCGUCCCUGAGGCCCAGGGGGUUCCGGGGUUCCCGGGUGUGGCCGCACCGGAAGGCAGCACUCUCACAUGUAGACCGGCAAAUGUCCUGGUGGUGCCGAAGUCUUUGGAGCAGAAAGCAGAGUUUAGAGAGGAGCGAAAGAAAAGCGGCAACAAAAAACCUUCCUGCUAUGAGAAAAGAAGCAGAAACGCAAGACGUCGGGAUAAUGGUAAAUAUUAAAUUAAACUAAGUGCCUGGUACUCGUUCCUUAUAAAAGAUUAGUGUUGUGAAAUACAGAAAAUAUACCAAAAUACCUGUUUUUCUAGAUCUGGUCUAGAUACUUACAAGUGUGACCUGGAAACAAAGCUUUUAGUUUUCAUUUAUUAUUAAUUGUGGAGAUUCCUUUAAAUUCCCUGUGAACCUUUUGCUGGACACCCAAGUUAUAUCCCGUGUUCCUGGCUGUUGUUUACUGACCUGCGGGGGUACCGAUCCCACCUGUGAUCAGCUGUUUGUUUUGUGAGGCGUGUGAACAUGUUAACAGAGAUACCUUUGUAAAGGUUGAGAUCACAGUGACUAACUCAGUGGAGCCGUAACGUGGGUGGUUAAAAGGUUAUUAUAUCUGGGAUGUUCUUUGAACUGUCAUCAGGAAAACCCGCGCCUGAUGGCUUGACUGUAUGUACAAAUUUCACUUCUUUAAAAGUUGCGAUUUCUCAGCUUCUCCAUGAUAACUCUGUGUGUGUCUGUGUUUCAGCGAACAGGAAUUUGAAUUAGCUUCACCUGCAGUGAAAGGUGUCUAAUUUAAAUUACCUUAUUGGAAAGUCAGCCCAUGUGAAAUGUGUUUGCCACUACCCUGGGACAGCUGUCCCAAAGGUGAUUCAUUCUGAUUUUCCAGUCCUUAUGGGCAUAACUGAUGGCCUGGCCAACCUGAACGCGUGCUGGAGUUUAUCUCCUAGUCCAGUUCAUCCAUUCAUAUGGUGAAUGGAGUGAAAUCCAGUUGGUGGCUGGUCAUGAGUGAUGUUCCCCAGCUCAUUAUUGGUGCCAGUUGUGUUUCAUAUCUUCAUCCGUGAUCUGGACAAGGGGAUCAAGUGCACCCUUAGUAAGUUUGCAGAUUACACCAAGUUGGGUGGGAGUGUUGAUCUGCUGGAGGGUGGGAAGGCUCUGCAGGGCCUGCAGAGGAUGAGAGGGAACGGCCUCAAGUUGUGCCCGGGAUGGUUCAGACUGGAUAGUAGGAAAAAUUCCUUCAUGGAAAGGGCUGUGGGGCAUUGGAACAGGCUGCCCAGGGCAGUGCUGGAGUCACCAUCCCUGUAGGGUUGGACAGACAGAGACGAGGUUCUCAGGGACAUUAUUUAGAGAUGGGCUUGGCAGUGCUGGGUUGACGGUUGGACUCGAUCUUAAAGAUCUUUUCCAACCAAAAUGAUUCUAUGAUUGUAGCUUCAAAGGACAUACCCUCAGCUGGAUGAGGGAGAGCUGGGAGGGUAGUGUUGUGCUUUUGUGUUGGUCCCUGUGAUCAGUGUGGGACUUCAACAGUGUGAUGAGGUGUGGGAGUAGAAACUGCCUCACUCAACUCUCACACCUGUAAUUUAAUGGUAAGGACUGCCCUCAGGGGGCUGGUUAUUUCAGCUGACUGAAGAAUUACUCUUAGUAUUACCAAGCUGGCAGCAGGAAGGAGUUAGAUUUUAAUAAGUCAUGUUGGACUUAUGUCCUUCCAUUUCUAGCCUACUAGCUUGUUGCAAAAUACGCUGUUUUAUGUGCCAUACUUGCCAGCUGUACCUUGUCAUCACAGCUCCUGUACAGCUUGCAUCUGUCUGUUUUAUUCAUCUUUUUGUAUCUUUGUGAGCUGAGAAGUAAUUUUGUGAUGGGAGGAAGCAGAGAGGACUGUUUGAAUUAUUUGUGGAAUUCCUAGUGUGCUCGGAAAAAUGUUACUGUCUAAACAAAGUUCUGUUCAGUAGUGACCUGGUUUAUCAGAACAAUAGACCCGAUUCAUCAGAACAAGUAAAAAUGUAAACUUGAUUUUAAAAUGUGUAAUUGCCCAUGGUUUCUUGUGACAUCUGGUUAUUUUUAAGUGUCUUUUAUGUUGGUCGUUACCCUUGUUUGAGCUCCGUGUGAAAGCCCGUAUUCUUUCUGCUGAAUCUUACAUAUGCUCUGUUCUCUUCUGACAAAAUCUUUUUUAAACCGCCACAUAAAAGCAACUCUUUAGAAGACACCGAUGCUGAAAACAUAAUGUGAGGGAUUUUGUCAGAAGGAGAAAAUAAUCACCAGGUUUUUUUCUUCCUCCGCUAAGCCUCAUUUUUAUGAGCUGGAGGUGUUGCUUUAGGAGAGGGUUCUGAUGUCUGUUUUAACAAAGUACAAAACUAGGCCUUUCUACAAAUGACAGGGAAACAGUAAUACUUAUGCACAAUUUGUGCAACUGUAUAGCUGAGUUUAUAAGGAGUUGCUAUGGCAUAGCCGGAAUGCUCCCCAGUGACCAGUUACCUGAGCAUAGACUUGUCCUGGCUUUCUGAAACAAGGUUUCUGUUCAUUAUUUUAACUUUUUAUCAGCAGCAGUUGCCCCAGGGGGACCCCAGAAUGGUGCAGCGAUAGGGCAGAGCGGCCCUGCAGCUCUUGCUCUGCAGAGAAGACCGGAGACUCAUCUUCAGGUAGUUUUUAAUGUGAAGUCCUAAAGUUACUCUGUUCCUUUAUAGAUAAACACUUAAAGGAAAACCAAAAACAACGAACCAACAAAAAAACCCCCAAGACCCACCAAACCCUAGCUGUUGCAUCUCGGGUGCUCCUCUGUUACUUUGAUUCCCUUUAAGGAAGGUCUUGGUGGGGUUGUAGAAUGAAGUAUGGGGUGUGGGCAAAUGUGUGUGACUUCUUUGCUAUCAACGGAACAUUUCUGACUUGAUACAGUACAAAUGUUGUGAGAAAUAUGUCACUCUUUAGCAUCAUUUGGAUAAUAUGCAGCAAGUGAAUAGGCAGGAGUAUAUAGCAUUUUUCACUUUAAAUUAGUAAGCAGAGACAAACGAACACAGUUUUCCUUUUUUAUUUGAGACACUUAGCAAAAAUGCUGAAAUAUCAAACAUUUCCUCAGUAGCUACAAUAUUGCCACUAUGUACAAAAUAUUUGAUAAAUGUAGUACACAUAUAAAAAUACAGUAUGCAUUACAUAUAUACAGUACAAUGUGCAAAACAUAUGGCAUUCAAACAUAUGGAAUUGAUUUUAGGGGUGCAAACAGCAAAUACAAAGGCAUCAUGGUUUCUCAUAGAAAGGCAAUACAAAAACUGACGCCCUGAUUGCCAUCAUUUGCAUUUAGUAAAGUAGUGCUUAAAUGAAGGAGGCCCUAGAGACAGGUGUCUGUCUUCUUCUCUUCACAAAAUGAGAUGCUAAGACUUAAUUAUGACUAUGAAAACGAGAAGAGAAACACCUCCUAGGGUUAGCGUUAUUUCUACUGCAAGCAGUACUGUGAAGAAAAAUCCUAUCUAUCUGGAAAAAAGGCUGUGCUAUUACUGAAUACAAAUUCUCAAACAACAAAACCAAAUCUGUACUGUUAAACAUCAAAAACAGCUUUGAAAGUAUCUACAUCCUUAAUUUUAAAAAAGUAUGGAUAAUACUUCUGGGGAAUUAAUUUCCUAUGCUUCAAGAUACAAAGUGCCUCCUUUGGCAAUAUAAAUGGCAAUGCUUUGGUUCCUAUUUAAAUUUUUAUAUUAUUAGAAUUUAUUUUAGGCUGUCUUUUGAAUAUCUGAGCUGUAUUUUCUUUAUAAAAAUAGUGUGAUUAUAUAGCUAUCAACCAUUCCCUGCUUUUUAUUGAGAACUUGCUCUCCUCGCUAGAAUGGCUUUUUUUGGCUAGAUUUCUACAACACAUUUAUGCACUUUUAACUUAAAAAGUCUUUAUGUUCAGUACUGGACACUACAGAAUGAUGUAGGUGUCUCUUUUUUGCACUUUAUUCCUAGCAAACUGGUAUAAAAGGAGUAUUUGAGAUUACUUCAGGUUUUAAUGCACGCUCUUUAUUGGCCAUGUAUAUACUAUAUGCAAGUCCAUUCCACAUAUCUCACAUAAACCAGCAUCUGUAGUAUGGUCUAGAAGUCACCAAAAGGCAAUUUAAUAGACCAUAAUAUAAAGAGUUUCAACAGAACAUUUAUUAGAGAUAAGUGGAAGAAAUCUUUUUCCAGUUUUAAUAGAAUUUGCUUAAAGUUUACAAUACACUGAAGAUACCAUCCAAUUCCUAAUUGUCUCCAUCGGUGAGCUUUACUGUGUUUUGAUUCCAUAAUGUCCUUCCAGUUAAAUGUGUUCCAUGAUUGCAUUUUCUCUGCCUUGACAACAGUUGAGCAGCUUGUGCUUGGUUUCAGUGACAGUGCUUACGCUCUGCAGGCAUCUGAUUGCUGGAGGUUCCAUUACAUAACUGUUUAAUAUUGAAACUUGUGUUUUCAUCACCUGCUUCCUUGGACAUAACUACUGUCGGUGCAUUUAGAAAUACCUUGGAAAGAAGUUUUAGUAGUAAGUAGUGAUUAUUUCCAAAAGCUGUGGCCUCAGCUUUUAAAAGGUCUGAUUCUGCAAGCUCACAUUGCUGGAUUAGGCUCUAAAUUUCUGUAUAGAAUUGCCAUAAAUUCAUUUUCUUCUCGGAGAGAACUGCUAAAUUCAUGACAAUGUUUUCUUAACUAUUGGUAACGUUAAACAAAAUUUUGCCUCUAAACUUACUUAUCUAAUGCUUACUUAUCUAUGCACUAGAAGUGCAUAACAAAUACCAUUUCUGUAUUAAAUGCAGGAUGUGACUCCUCUUGAUUAACAUUAGCCUUUGUAAAAGAGAUGUCUGAGCUCUCUCCAUGUCUGGAAGUGUAAACACCUUUUGAUUUUCACACUGCUAAAACAGUAUUCUUAAUUAUUUUGAAGGAUCUACUAACACCACAUUUGAGAGGAUGUGUUCUGUUAGGAUACUGCAGCUAUUAAAUGGCAAAUUUAGUGUCAGUGCAUUCCUUUGCAACUGUUCUCUUAAUGAGAAAUAUUCCAUUCUGUACAGUCAAACUGCACAGUCGUGAUUACAUUUCUAAGAUGUAUUGUAUUUGUGUUACAAAAAUUGUCAUGUAAAACAUGCACACACAAGUCUAAGCAAAACCUAUUUCUGCCAUUACAGGCAUAUAUAGCUAUGGCAAAUAGAUCACAUUUCAGAACGAAGUCUAAAGCAAACCAUUAUAUAUAGGGUUUAAUACACAAUUCUGAAAUGUACAAAAAAGUAAUCACACACUUGCUACACUAGAAUAUUUGUACUUCAAAAAUUAAAAUGAUCCCUUUUAAAUGAUUUUUUUUGUUUUUGCAAAUAGACUUUUAGAGUCGAAAGCUAUACUGUACUGAUAGCAACACAUCUCAGCCGUUUGGGGUUACUUCUGCACAUAGAUUCCUAUGGAUUAGUUAACAUUCUACACUGCCAAUAAGUAUAGUUCUGUAGCAAGAUGACUUUGCCGGUUUAAAGCUCUAUUUACAUGCACAUCAAAAACGACAGUACAGUUGCUCUAGGUUAAUUUGACCUUUAAAAUUAAUUUACUUGCCUCUUAUUUAAUCAGAAGGCAGGGUCAAAAAGGGGUAACUCUAACCACACAUGUGGUAGCAUGUCUGGUGUAUCACACAUAAUAAAUUGACAGUAAUGCAGAACACUAAACUUCAUUCAAAAUUGUUCCUAUCAGACCAAGAGUCCUUAAUUCUCCUUCUUGUAACAGCUGAGGGCACUUAGUAUUCAGAGUAUUGGCUCCCAAGAUAAUGAGGACAAGGAAUGCAGAAAGUCGAAUGUAAUUGUUCAGUGUUAUCGAAGAGUCCCAUACCAUCAACAUUUAAGGCAGCCAGACAGUCCGUGUGUAAUAUCGUACUCAAGUAUUGUAGGCACAGCAAGAAGGAAUAAAUAAACAUGUCUUUCAGCUUCACCUUUUGUGGUGAAACUCUCCAUAGAUUGUUUUUUCUGUACUUAGUUUCAGAUUACAUUAAAUCCUGGCCUGCAAAACUACUGAAGAUCUAGAAGAAUUUAAAGUGCUGGUAACCGAUAUGAUGCAAAUGUAUGAUGCCAGUUGAAACCCUGAAUCAAUGAUAUAAUCCACUUUUAUCUAAGCCAAGGGAUUUCUCCAGACCGCAUUGUGUAUCUGGAGGCAAAUUUGCAGUUAAUUCCACAACUUCUGACAGAAGUAUUUAGUUUGAUGUUAAGAUGAUUGUGUUGUUUUGAUUUUUUCAUAUGUGAUACAGGUUGCUAAAUAGGUAACAGCUACUCUCUGCAUUGAGAUCA